CCGCCUCAGUGGCUGCCCUUUUCUGCCUUAUUACUUAAAAAUCAGCACACGUAGUUGUAGCACGGAAUUAGUAACUUGUUUGUGCCGCCGUGACACACAGACACAUCUCACCUGUCUCCACACUACUCACUUUCAAACCUCCCUCCCGGAAAACAGUCAAAUGGCGGUAAUAGAGGAAGGAAAAGAUGAAACUAAUGAAAAAUUUAAAGAGCCCUGAAUAAUGUCCCGUUAGGAAAGCCAGAGUCAUCCUCGGCAGGACACUGACUCGCUCCUCCACGUCUCCUCCGUCAGGGACAUAUUUCCUCCUUUUUCCUCUUUCCCACGCUGGGGCUGUUUUCUAAGAGUCCCUCCACGACCCCAAAGGCCAGUGACAGUGUGUGGGGGCAGUGAACGGUUUCGGACACAGCAAGCAAACGCUGACCUCAGUGCGCGGCUUUUCCUGCCCCAACGAGUCGAGUCAGCACACAGCCGCACCUGAGAGCACACUCCGCCCCGCACCUCCACACAACCAAGUUUCCUUGGAGGUGUCUUGACACUUGUUUCUUCCUACGACACAACUCGUCGUAGGUGCGCACUUAUCUUCGCCAGGCAACUCGGACCUUUGAGGGUGACUGGUGGGCGUAUAUUGUCUGCCCGAGCCAAACCCUCCCCGCUACCAGACGGGGGACAGCAGACCCUGCCACCCCUGCAGCCCUGCCCUUGUCACCGGUGAGGCGAAGGACGCGAGCGUGCUGAGUAGUGUGGUAUCGAGUUGCUGUCUUCGAGGUUUUUUAACACAGUAUAGCUGACACUCUUGCAACAUUAUUUCAGGUGCAUUACUAUUAUUAUGCUCACGUGUUUAGGCAUGUGGUGCCGUAUUUAAUCUAUUAGAUUUUUCAGCUGUUGAUUUUUCUGGCGUGUGGAUGUUUAUUAUUUUUCUUGAGUAACAUUGUUACGCAUUUUAUGUAUAAUCAUUCAUUUUAUUUUCUCCUUUCUUUUGUGUAUUUUAUUGCACAGUGGAGAAGUUUUGUCUUGCUAAGCCUCACUCAUUAUUCUUUUUCCCCUUUUUAUGCAUUUUAGAAGCAUCGGGGAGGAGUGAGCACAUGCUUAGCGGUGAAUGAUUAUUACUUUGAUUAUUUUUGCAGCAAUAUUUUUUUUUCUUUUACCAUUUUACUCCUCAUUUUACUAGUAACUCUUUUUAAUGGCAGAGAACCACCGAGAACUAUGAGGGGUGGGUAGAGAGAAAUGACAGUGCCAUCACGGAUAACGGUGACUGUCAUGUAAGGAGUGGUAGCAGUCUUCAAAGGGUGCUUGCUCCUCCUUCUACGCUGCAUGAGCAACCAAGAGACUGUGGUGAGAGAAGUCCAUCGUUAGCACCCUGUCAGCAUACUGUCAGCACAUUAUCAGCAGACUGUCACCACAUCAUCAGCACACUAUCAGCACACUGCCACCCCGUCAUCAGCACUGUCAGCACACCAUAACCACACUGUUAGCAAGUCAUCACCCCCCUAAAAGUCUGCCUGCCACCCCUGGUGCUGGUGCAGCAGCGAGGGUCUGAGGCGGGUGAUGUGCUCAGCGCUCGCUGCAUCCUCACUGCCGCUGACUUCUGUUGCAGUGGAGGCUGCAGGGCUGGGCAGCAGCCUGAGGAGCCAGGACCAGCAGGAGCAGCC